rnacentral:rRNA from 1 species
AGUGAACGCUGGCGGUAGGCCUAACACAUGCAAGUCGAACGGCAGCACAGUAAGAGCUUGCUCUUACGGGUGGCGAGUGGCGGACGGGUGAGGAAUACAUCGGAAUCUACUUUUUCGUGGGGGAUAACGUAGGGAAACUUACGCUAAUACCGCAUACGACCUACGGUUGAAAGCAGUGGAUCUUCUGACCUUGCGCGAUUGAAUGAGCCGAUGUCGGAUUAGCUAGUUGGCUGGGUAAAGGCCCACCAAGGCGACGAUCCGUAGCUGGUCUGAGAGGAUGAUCAGCCACACUGGAACUGAGACACGGUCCAGACUCCUACGGGAGGCAGCAGUGGGGAAUAUUGGACAAUGGGCGCAAGCCUGAUCCAGCCAUACCGCGUGGGUGAAGAAGGCCUUCGGGUUGUAAAGCCCUUUUGUUGGGAAAGAAAAGCAGCAGGUUAAUACCCCGCUGUUCUGACGGUACCCAAAGAAUAAGCACCGGCUAACUUCGUG